rnacentral:rRNA from 1 species
AGCGAACGCUGGCGGCAUGCCUAACACAUGCAAGUCGCACGGGGGGGCUUCGGCCUCCCAGUGGCGGACGGGUGAGGAACGCGUAGGGACCUGUCGAGGGGUGGGGGAUAACCGCGGGAAACUGCGGCUAAUACCGCAUGACGCCGCGGCGUGACAGCCGGGGCCAAAGGCGAAAGCCGCCCGCCGAGGGGCCUGCGUCCGAUUAGCUGGUUGGCGGGGUAGCGGCCCACCAAGGCGUCGAUCGGUAGCUGGUCUGAGAGGGUGAUCAGCCACACCGGGACUGAGACACGGGCCGGACUCCUACGGGAGGCAGCAGUGGGGAAUAUUGGACAAUGGGCGCAAGCCUGAUCCAGCAAUGCCGCGUGGGUGAAGAAGGUCUUCGGAUUGUAAAGCCCUUUCGGCGGGGACGAUGGUGACGGUACCCGCAGAAGAAGCCCCGGCUAACUUCGUG